rnacentral:rRNA from 1 species
ACGGAGGAUGCAAGCGUUAUCCGGAUUUAUUGGGUUUAAAGGGUGCGCAGGCGGAUCAAUAAGUCAGGGGUGAAAACUUUCAGCUCAACUGGAAUCGUGCCUUUGAUACUGUUGGACUAGAGUAUAAUUGAAGUGGGUGGAAUGUGACGUGUAGCGGUGAAAAGCUUAGAUAUGACACAGAACGCCAAUCGUGAAGACAGCAAACGAAAUUAUAACUGACGCUCAUGCACGAAAGCGUUGUGAUCACACAG